UACGGAGGGGACUAGCGUUGUUCGGAAUUACUGGGCGUAAAGGGAGCGUAGGCGGCGCGGUAAGUCAGAUGUGAAAUCCCGGGGCUCAACCCCGGAACUGCCUUCGAUACUGGGAAUCUUGAGUCCGGAAGAGGUGAGUGGAACUGCGAGUGUAGAGGUGAAAUUCGUAGAUAUUCGCAAGAACACCAGUGGCGAAGGCGGCUCACUGGUCCGGUACUGACGCUGAGGUGCGAAAGCGUGGGGAGCAAACAGG
rnacentral:rRNA from 1 species